AAGGAACAAAGAAAGAAAACCCCGAAAUUUACAGACAGAAGCUGCAAAGAAAAACGAGAAACAGAUCGGAAAGAGACACAACGGGGGAAGCACCAUAAAAAACAGGGAAGAAAGUGCCAAAAUGGCAAACCUGUAAGAAACAAGCUAUUUGGUCAUCACUGGAACACAGAGACUUCAGAAGAAAAACCCCCACAAGAUCUGGAAAUAGCAUACCUCGUGCCAUGUUUUAGAUCCUUUAUUUAAAUUAUUUGAAGGAAACUUUUUGUAGGGAGUCUAGCCACAUUGACACAAUUGACUUGGGUAAGGCUAAGUCAUCAUAUAGAAUCAUUAUACAUUUUGUCAUUGUCUGGGGACAUAGAGACAAUAGUGCUGACGCCGGAAGUUCACAGCAAUUUGGAAAAGACUAGAGGGGUUCAGGCAUGACCAGCCCUUCUGUGCCUCUUGAGCAUAUAGUUGGUCUCUAAUGACAACAGCUGUUGCCUACCAGGCCUGUCACUGUUUCCAGUUACGACUCUUAGACUUCUAAAGCAUCUGAUACCGUUUUUCCCUCCGACAGAGCUAUGCACUUCCUGAGGUCAGGUGAAUACCUGACCAUCAUUUCUCAUUUACAGGCAUUGACAGUCCAAUUUUUCCAUUUCUCAUAGACUUGCCUUAUCAAAGGGUCCUACAGCCUCUCACGAUGAAAACACAAGAAAAAUAAUAGUUACUGAGCAUUUACUAGGCACUAGGCUCUGUGCUUCAUAGGCUGUUCAUUUACCUUCACACCAGCCUUGUGGCAGUCUUUCUUAUUAGCCCUAUUUCACAGAUGUCAAGACGAAGUCUCAGAGAAGUUAAAUAACUGUCCCAAUGCUAUUACUUCAUGGAUCUGGAGAGCUGACCAGAGGAACUGUAGCGUGCAGACUCUCUCCCACAGCAUGAAAAUGUUCCAUACUGGGAACACCCAGGAUCAUAACACGAGCAAGUGUUCCUCAACGUGAGAAGCUGCAUCAGGAUCUCCCGGGGGUGCCUGUUAAAAACGUAGAUCCCAGAUCCUCAGCAGACUGACUGAAUCAGAACCUCUGGUGGAGCCCUGGAAUCUGAAUUUUAAGAAGUGCCAGGAGAUGACUCCAAUUCUCAUUAAAUUUGGUAACCACCUGAUAGAAACAAACAACAGCAACGAAACCAAGAGACCAAUAGUGUGGUUUUAUGGCUAAUGGUAUAGCAGAGAGUUUUUCUAUUUUUUACAGUUCGGGCAGCUAU
rnacentral:lncRNA from 1 species